GUACACUCCUACGGGAGGCAGCAGUGGGGAAUAUUGGACAAUGGGCGCAAGCCUGAUCCAGCCAUGCCGCGUGAGUGAUGAAGGCCCUAGGGUUGUAAAGCUCUUUCACCGGUGAAGAUAAUGACGGUAACCGGAGAAGAAGCCCCGGCUAACUUCGUGCCAGCAGCCGCGGUAAUACGAAGGGGGCUAGCGUUGUUCGGAUUUACUGGGCGUAAAGCGCACGUAGGCGGACUAUUAAGUCAGGGGUGAAAACCAGGGGCUCAACCCCGGAACUGCCUUUGAUACUGGUAGUCUUGAGUUCGAGAGAGGUGAGUGGAAUUCCGAGUGUAGAGGUGAAAUUCGUAGAUAUUCGGAGGAACACCAGUGGCGAAGGCGGCUCACUGGCUCGAUACUGACGCUGAGGUGCGAAAGCGUGGGGAGCAAACAGGAUUAGAUACCCUUGUAGUCCC
rnacentral:rRNA from 1 species